rnacentral:rRNA from 1 species
CAGCCCCCGCGGUAAUACGGAGGGCGCAAGCGUUAAUCGGAAUUACUGGGCGUAAAGCGUGCGUAGGCGGUUCGUUAAGUCUGUUGUGAAAGCCCCGGGCUCAACCUGGGAAUGGCAAUGGAUACUGGCGAGCUAGAGUGUGUCAGAGGAUGGUGGAAUUCCCGGUGUAGCGGUGAAAUGCGUAGAGAUCGGGAGGAACAUCAGUGGCGAAGGCGGCCAUCUGGGACAACACUGACGCUGAGGCACGAAAGCGUGGGGAGCAAACAGGAUUAGAUACCCCGGUAGUCCCUGUCUCUUAUAU